GACGAACGCUGGCGGCGUGCUUAACACAUGCAAGUCGAACGGAAAGGCCUCUUUCGGGGGGUACUCGCGUGGCGAACGGGUGAGUAACACGUGAGUAACCUGCCCUUGACUUUGGGAUAACUUCAGGAAACUGGGGCUAAUACCGGAUAGGAGCUCCUGCUGCCUGGUGGGGGUUGGAAAGUUUCGGCGGUUGGGGAUGGACUCGCGGCUUAUCCGCUUGUUGGUGGGGUAGUGGCUUACCGAGGCGUUGACGGGUAGCCGGCCUGAGAGAGUGACAGGCGACAUUGGGACUGAGAUACGGCCCAGACUCCUACGGGAGGCAGCAGUGGGGAAUAUUGCACAAUGGGUGGAAGCCUGAUGCAGCAGCGCCGUGGGCGGGAUGACGGCCUUCGGGUUGUAGACCGCUUGCGCUAAUGACGAAGCUUUGUGUGACGGUAGUGGGUAAAGAAGCACCGGCUAACUACGUG
rnacentral:rRNA from 1 species